CUUGAAAGUGGUUUAUUAAAAUAUAAAGGAAAAGAUGAAAAUAGUAAAUAUUAUUAUUCAGAAUAAUAUAAUUGUAAAUAGUGAACAGGAUUCCAGGGCAAAUAGAGAAUAUGGGUCUCUAGGGCUGGGAUAAGGUGAGUCUAUGAAUGAAAUUUUUCUGAACAAGCAGCUGAAACAGAUAAGGGAAAUUAGCAAAUACAAGAAAUAUAAGAAACUUGGAUUUUAACUGGUGAGCCACUCUAAGUCUCCCGUUUAUUGUCCUUUCCGAACCCUUUCAAAGAAUAACUUAAAGCCAUUAAAGUUAUGUUAUUUUCAGACAAAGCAGAGUAACUUUUGGGAAAGACAUUUUUCAAGAAGAAAAAGUGGACGUCCUCGUCAGGGCGGGCAGCGGCAGCCGCGGCUGCGGGCCUGGGGCUUGGGGCCUGGAGCCUGGGCCUGGGGCGGGGGCGGGCGGCCCCUCCCAGCACCCGGCGCGGCCCGCCCUGCCGCCCACCGCCCACCGUCCUGAAGUUGGUCAAGACGCUUUGUUCUGCGCUGCGGGCGGCUUCCUCGGCGGCCCAGCGGAGGAGGCGUAGACUGCGGUGAGCCCGCUAUCUUGGCCAGGCCCAUGUACCCCUCGACCCUAGCGGCAUGCCAGGAGGAGAGUUCAGACUUCUCGUUUUUAAGGUGGAGACGUCCAGGACCUCUUUAUUAGAUGUUUAGGAAUUUCAGUUUUUCCGUAGGGCAGUGGUCAUCGUGAGCCUCUGUGGGGUCAGGCUGGGCUAACUGGGGUUUCGAUUGUAAGUUUCGUGUGGCCGAGGACAUGUCUGACUGGGAAGAAAGUCCUUGGCAUUACUUCUUAGCUGUUGAGAGCUGUGCGGUGCGAGCGAGAUGGGCGGCGCGCACUCCCCGAGGACUGGCCUGAGUGGCCUUAGCCUAGUUACUCACGAGACUUGGUUUACCAGACAAGGGGAUAAAAACAUUCAGAUGGCAGAUAACAGUUUCUCGGAUGGGGUUCCUUCAGAUUCCGUGGAAGCCGCUAAAAAUGCAAGUAAUACGGAAAAGCUCAUGGAUCAGGUGAUGCAGAAUCCUGGAGUUGUGGCAGCUUUACAGGAGCGACUUGACAAUGCCCCUCACACCCCUUCCAGCUACAUGGAAACUUUACCUAAAGCAGUAAAAAGAAGAAUUAAUGCACUGAAACAAAUUCAGGUGAGAUGUGCUCAUAUAGAAGCCAAGUUCUAUGAAGAAGUUCAUGACUUGGGAAGAAAGUACACAGCAUUAUACCAGCCUCUCUUUGACAAGAGAAAAGAAUUUAUCACCCGUGAUGUUGAACCAACAUCUGAUAUGGAAUCAGAAUGGCACAGUGAAAAUGAAGAGGAGGAGAAAUUGGCUGGAGACGUGAAAAAUAAAGUAGUCAUAACAGAAAAAGCAGCAGCAACAGCUGAAGAGCCAAAUCCCAAAGGAAUUCCAGAGUUCUGGUUUACCAUCUUUAGAAUUAGUCCAGGAGUAUGAUGAACCAAUCUUGAAACACCUGCAGGAUAUUAAAGUGAAGUUUUCUAACCCUGGACAGCCUAUGUCUUUUAUAUUAGAGUUCCACUUUGAACCCAACGACUACUUUACCAACUCAGUCCUGAGGAAAACCUGCAAGAUGAAAUCAGAACCAGAUAAGGCUGAUCCCUUUUCAUUUGCAGGUCCUGAGAUCAUGGACUGUGACGGGUGUACUAUUGACUGGAAGAAAGGAAAGAAAGUGACUGUCAAAAUCAUCAAGAAAAAGCAGAAGCAUAAGGGUCGAGGCACUGUUAGAACAAUUACUAAACAAGUAUCCAGUGAGUCAUUUUUCAACUUAUUCAAUCCACUGAAAGCGUCUGGGGAUAGAGAAUCACUGGAUAAAGAUUCUGAAUUCGUAUUAGCCUCUGAUUUGGAAAUUGGACUCUUUUUCCGUGAGCGGAUAGUCUAAAUUGGACACUUUCCAUGGGCUGUGCUAUACUUCGCUGGGGAGGCCUUAGAGGACGAUGACAAUUUUGAUGAAGGUGAAGAAGAAGAGGAGGAAUUAGAAGGUGACGAGGAGGGAGAAGAUGAGGAUGAUGCGGAAAUUAACCCCAACAAGGAACCCAGCCAGCUGGCGGAAUGCAAGCAGCAGUACGAAGUGGAGGUGGGCGCCUGGCAGACCAGCUGUCGGGACUCCGGGCCUGUCCGGGAGGCCUCAGUCUUUGCCGCAUGCGGCACAAUCCCGUCGACAGCGCUUACUCCAUCUAGUUAGUUUUCAAGUGCAUGAUUUUCACUUUCACUUUCCUUUUUUCCUUAUUGUUUUGCUUAACUUGUACAGUGGCAACUGAAAUGCAUUUCAGAAAUAGGAGGUUUCGUCCAGUACCCUCUGCAGCCUCGGUACCUGUAGCUCUGGACUUACCUGGGCCUUUCCCUGGGGGAGGGCCCCAUAGACCACGUUGGGGUGGGAUGGUGUGGGAGUCACUUGGUAAAAAGGGCCGAGGUCUGGUGAUGAGGUUCCAGGGAUCUAGAACCUCUCCUACCGCUCCUGCAGUUGGACUGAAUUCUUCCCUUUCAUUUGAAGAAAUCCACUCGCUGUUUCCAGCCGCUUAACCUGCCGAGUGUACAGCCUGCAUCACCUGCUGUAUACUAAUCAUCUCAGAAGGGCUGUGUAGAGUAGGGCCCUGUUCUCCUUAGGAUGUUGCUUCUUGAUUUUCUUCUUUUAGGGUUGGGUCAGGGUUGUGGCACACCACCUCAGGCGAGAGCUGCCAUAGGUCACUUCAUAUUUAUUUAUCCCUUCUUGCCUGUGAGGACUGUGGCCUUUUGCUGUCGCUCGUCCUUGCCAUUUCUGAACCACCCUGGUGACCUAAGCAGGAAUAUGUGCCACUUCUUAGCAGGAGCGAGGGCUGUGCGGAAGAAACACUGCUUCCUGCCACCAGGGCUGAAGACACGAGCCUGUCCUCGUGACAUAGGCACCGCCCUGCUGCCGGAGCCGGGAUUCGGCGAUCUUCUCCAGUGAGGGACUGGGCUGGGAAGUCCUGCGUUUCAUUUGAGCAUAUGAGCGUCAAGUCCUGCUUUCUCAGUAGCCCCCUUGCUGAGCCCUACCAUUCAUCCUGUCUGAAGGUCCUGGUUUGGUGUGACAGCUUGGUGGCUGGCGAGUGGGGUUUCCAAGUGGGUGACAGUGCUCUCCAGCAGCCUGGGAUGGCUGUGUCCGCACUGACCAGGCCUGUAGAGAGUGCUCAGCCUAACCUUAGAAGACAUUUAUAACUGAAUACAGUGUUUUCAAUUUGCACAUAAUAGUUAGAAUAUUCUAUUAAAGUUAUGAAACAUGGAGAAAAAAAAGAAAAAGUGCAAAUGAGUUCCAAUUUAUAACUGAUAGAUUUGAUUCGUGAAGACAGAGAAAAGAUCAAACCCACAGAAGUGUCACUCUGUUUGUACAAGUCACACAAUGGCAAGAAGUUUUUAAAACGAGCUGCAAAGUUAUAAUAGUUAAGCUUGGAGCAAACACUCCUUUAUUAAUUCUACCUUUUGAGUGUUACAUAAUACCCAAGGCAUACAAUAUGGAAAUGCAAUUUGUUGUAAAAGCAGAUAGUUGCUUUAUAAUGGGAACAAAAAAUAAAACCAGUAUGCUUUUGCCUUUUGGUAUAUGUAUGCUGCAUCUAACUGACGAGGAGGAAGAAGAUGACUACAUAUAGACAUAGCAAGCAAGUUGAAAUCUUGAAAAGUUUUAAGUGUUCCAAGAGACAAAAUACUUGAAGGAAAUAAUUUCUGAGUAAGAUCCCUCUACAGAAUUACAUGGAAUAUUUUAGGGGAUUUUUAAAGGUUUUGCCCUGGCACCAGUUUUAACUUUAUGUUUGCCAUUAGAGUUGAAGACACAAAGUAAGAUUACUCUUACUGAAAGUAAGAUUACUUUCCUUGUAGAUAGUCUGGUAAAAGAUCAUAAGAGGGAAUAAUAUUCCUCUUAUUGAUUUAAAAUAAGUACUAUUAAUUUGAAAAAAUUAUUUUAAUUAUUAAAUAAUGGUGAUUCAUCCAUCCUUCUUUUACAUUUUCUUCCAAAUUGAUAGUUCACAUAUAUACAAUAGAUUUUGAAAGUUUGAGGAAUGUUGCUUGAUAGGUCUUAGGUUUAAAUCCUGGAGUAGUGUUGACAUCUGAGACAUACAUCUGGGCUUCUGACCCUGGUUUCUGUUAACCACAUGUUGGAGGACCUUCUUUUAAAAUACAAACCAAGAACUGAACUUAACGAUCUUAAUGGUUCUUUUGAACAAUAACA